GAUGAACGCUGGCGGCGUGCCUAAUACAUGCAAGUCGAGCGAACAGACGAGGAGCUUGCUCCUCUGACGUUAGCGGCGGACGGGUGAGUAACACGUGGAUAACCUACCUAUAAGACUGGGAUAACUUCGGGAAACCGGAGCUAAUACCGGAUAAUAUAUUGAACCGCAUGGUUCAAUAGUGAAAGACGGUUUUGCUGUCACUUAUAGAUGGAUCCGCGCCGCAUUAGCUAGUUGGUAAGGUAACGGCUUACCAAGGCAACGAUGCGUAGCCGACCUGAGAGGGUGAUCGGCCACCCUGGAACUGAGACACGGUCCAGACUCCUACGGGAGGCAGCAGUAGGGAAUCUUCCGCAAUGGGCGAAAGCCUGACGGAGCAACACCGCGUGAGUGAUGAAGGUCUUCGGAUCGUAAAACUCUGUUAUUAGGGAAGAACAAAUGUGUAAGUAACUAUGCACGUCUUGACGGUACCUAAUCAGAAAGCCACGGCUAACUACGUG
rnacentral:rRNA from 1 species